AUUGAACGCUGGCGGCAGGCCUAACACAUGCAAGUCGAGCGGAUGAAGGGAGCUUGCUCCUGGAUUCGGCGGCGGACGGGUGAGUAAUGCCUAGGAAUCUGCCUGGUAGUGGGGGAUAACGUCCGGAAACGGGCGCUAAUACCGCAUACGUUCUGAGGGAGAAAGUGGGGGAUCUUCGGACCUCACGCUAUCAGAUGAGCCUAGGUCGGAUUAGCUAGUUGGUGGGGUAAAGGCCUACCAAGGCGACGAUCCGUAACUGGUCUGAGAGGAUGAUCAGUCACACUGGAACUGGGACACGGUCCAGACUCCUACGGGAGGCAGCAGUGGGGAAUAUUGGACAAUGGGCGAAAGCCUGAUCCAGCCAUGCCGCGUGUGUGAGGAAGGUCUUCGGAUUGUAAAGCACGUUAAGUGGGGAGGAAGGGCAGUAAGUUAAUACCUUGCUGUUUUGACGUUACCAACAGAAUAAGCACCGGCUAACUACGUG
rnacentral:rRNA from 1 species